rnacentral:sRNA from 1 species
ACGUAUCACUCGUGCACUGCAGUUCAGAGCGCACCGUCCAUCCACCUGAUGGCUGCUCGCUACGUUCGGUUGGCC